rnacentral:rRNA from 1 species
AGCGAACGCUGGCGGCAGGCCUAACACAUGCAAGUCGAACGAACUCUUCGGAGUUAGUGGCGGACGGGUGAGUAACACGUGGGAACGUGCCUUUAGGUUCGGAAUAACUCAGGGAAACUUGUGCUAAUACCGAAUGUGCCCUUCGGGGGAAAGAUUUAUCGCCUUUAGAGCGGCCCGCGUCUGAUUAGCUAGUUGGUGAGGUAACGGCUCACCAAGGCGACGAUCAGUAGCUGGUCUGAGAGGAUGACCAGCCACACUGGGACUGAGACACGGCCCAGACUCCUACGGGAGGCAGCAGUGGGGAAUCUUGCGCAAUGGGCGAAAGCCUGACGCAGCGGCGCCGCGUGAAGGAAGGAGGCCUUCGGGUUGUAAACUUCUUUUUUAUGGGACGAUUGUGACGGUACCAUAAGAAUAAGGACCUGCUAACUACGUGCCAGCAGCCGCCGUAA